AACGCACCUUGCGCUCCUUGGUAUUCCGAGGAGCAUGCCUGUUUGAGUGUCAUUAAUAUAUAUCAACCCUCUUCUCUUGUUGAGUGGUUUGGAUGUGGGGGGUUUGCUUUGCUGGCCUCUUUUUGAGAGGUUCAGCUCCCCUGAAAUGCAUUAGCAGAACGACCUGUUCAUUGGUGUGAUAAACUAUCUACGCUAUUGAACGUGAGGCAGUUCAGCUUCCUAACAGUCCUCUGGACAAAUUUAUCAUUUAAUGUGACCUCAAAUCAGGUAGGACUACCCGCUGAACUUAA
rnacentral:misc_RNA from 1 species